rnacentral:lncRNA from 1 species
GGGGUAAGAAAUAAAAAUUUAUUUGUGAGGGUGUUCAUGACAAGGCUGCUCGUGUUGUAGCUAGGGUACAGGGGAUGUGGUCUAAUUUCCAUCGUUGUGGUGGGAAAUCUGGGCAGGAUAUUUUAAUUGAUUCUAAUUUUGUGGUUAGGGUCUGGCAGCCGCAUAUUCAUGGGGUGGUUUGAGCUUUAACACCGAUGCAGCUAUUGAUGUUUUAAGCUUGGGAAGGUUGGUUUUGCAGCUGUAGUGCAUAAUCAAGAUGGUGUGCUUAUGGUAUCAGCGAUUGAUUGUUGUGUGUUAUCCAAAUGAUGCUAAUAUAGAUGAGGCGGAAGCUUAUACUU